AUGGAGCUCUCUGCUGGCAUCCCCUCCACUUUGCGAUCCCCAUCCACAGCCAAAGCUCUCCGUUGGCCGCACCUCCCCUUCGUCAGCAACGCCGGCGGAGGCGCAGGCCCCUGCUCCGCCCCGCCUCUCCCCCUCGUCACCACCACCGGCGGACGCGCAGGCCCAGCUCUGCCCGCCCCUUCUUCUUAUCUGGUGCCGCCCGGGCCCUCCCUCCUCCUGGCCACGGCGGAGCGCUCGAGCCGGGCAUGCUCGCCGGCGAUGCCGGGGCCCUCCCUCCUCCUGGCCACGGCGGGGCGCUCGGGCCGGGCAUGCUCGCCGGCGACGUCGGGGCCCUCCCUCCUCCUGGCGACAGCGGGGCGGUCGAGCUGGGCAUGCUCGCCCGCGACGCCGGGGCCUUCCCUCGUGCUGAUGCACUCGCCGCCCAGGAACUUCCCUCACCCCCUCCCCGCUGCUAGAGACGCCAUGAAGGAGCAGGAGCAGUUGCUGCUCGCGACCUCCUUCUUGAUUAGGAUCACCAAGAUGACCUUGUGUGCUGUGCUGCCGCUCGGGACCCUCCCUAUGCUUCUCCUCGCUCGUCCGGGUCCAGCUUAG
rnacentral:rRNA from 1 species